GGGAUGGGGAGGGAAGCUCAGCGCCACAUCCAAAUUACUGAAAGCUUUCUCAGGACAGGAGAAAAAGCUGUCAGAUUAACAGCUGAAUACAGAACAUUCGACCAUCAUAUAUCCUUCUCAUUCAAGUAACAUGAAACCCUGGAAAGGGAGGAAGCGAUGGAGGGCUCGGGCUGUGGCGCAGGCUGGAGAGCAAGCCAGUUGCAACCAGCUGCAAUGAAUCACUCUAACCAGGAGGUCAUGAGUUCGAGGCCUGCUCGGAGCCUAUGUUUGUCUUGUCUUUGUUCUAUGUUAAAAGGCAUUGAAUGUUUGCCUAUAUGUGUAAUGUGAAUCCGCCCUGAGUCCCCUUCAGGGUGAGAAGGGCGGAAUAUAAAUGCUGUAAAUAAAUAAUAAAUAAUGGAGUCAAUAAAAA